rnacentral:rRNA from 1 species
GACAGAGGGGGCAAGCGUUGCUCGGAAUCACUGGGCGUAAAGGGCGCGUAGGCGGGCGGGCAAGUCGGUCGUGAAAGCCCUCGGCUCAACCGAGGCGAGUCGGCCGAGACUGCCGGUCUUGAGGGAUGCAGAGGAGACUGGAAUUCCCGGUGUAGCGGUGAAAUGUGUAGAGAUCGGGAGGAACACCGGUGGCGAAGGCGGGUCUCUGGGCAUUCCCUGACGCUGAGGCGCGAAAGCGUGGGGAGCAAACAGG